CUGGUCGGGCUGCCUGUUGUAGUCGGCGCCGCGGUCGGGAGCCCCUCCGUGCUCCGAAGCGCGACUGCAGCGGUAGGCUGCUCUGUGGUCUGGGGGGCCGUAUCUUCAGCAGCGCGGACUGGCUCGCCCGUCCCCUGGCUGGCAGCCUGGCCGGGGUCGACAUCCGACGCCGCACUACAGGAACAAAAGUGUAAUUUCAAAAAAAAAAAAAUCAAAUUGGAGUCCAAAAUACGUAUGUCGAACACUUACAGGUCUGAUCGACGGUGGGUGGCGGUGAACCUCCUCCUCGCCCGGCC
rnacentral:lncRNA from 1 species